UACGUAGGGUGCGAGCGUUGUCCGGAAUUAUUGGGCGUAAAGGGCUCGUAGGCGGUUUGUCGCGUCGGGAGUGAAAACCAUGGGCUUAACUCAUGGCUUGCUUUCGAUACGGGCAGACUAGAGGUAUGCAGGGGAGAACGGAAUUCCUGGUGUAGCGGUGAAAUGCGCAGAUAUCAGGAGGAACACCGGUGGCGAAGGCGGUUCUCUGGGCAUGAUCUGACGCUGAGACACGAAAGCCAGGGGAGCAAACGGG
rnacentral:rRNA from 1 species